AUAAUAUCAUAUACGAGAGGACCGAAGAGGGUAAAUCACUGGUGUAUCGGUUGUUCUAAUGGAGCAACGCCGAGUAGCUAAAUUUAUAAUGGAUAAUUGCUGAAAGCAUCUAAGCAAGAAACCAAUCUUAAAAUU
rnacentral:ncRNA from 1 species